GGUUAAGUGACUAAGCGUACACGGUGGAUGCCUAGGCAGUCAGAGGCGAUGAAGGGCGUGCUAAUCUGCGAAAAGCGUCGGUAAGGUGAUAUGAACCGUUACAACCGGCGAUACCCGAAUGGGGAAACCCAGUGUGUUUCGACACACUAUCAUGUCAUGAAUACAUAGUGGCAUGAGGCGAACCGGGGGAACUGAAACAUCUAAGUACCCCGAGGAAAAGAAAUCAACCGAGAUUCCCCCAGUAGCGGCGAGCGAACGGGGAGGAGCCCAGAACCUGAAUCGGCUUGUGUGUUAGUGGAAGCGUCUGGAAAGUCGCGCAGCAAAGGGUGAUAGCCCCGUACACUAAAAUGCACAGGUCGUGAGUUCGAUGAGUAGGGCGGGACACGUGACAUCCUGUCUGAAUAUGGGGGGACCAUCCUCCAAGGCUAAAUACUCCUGACUGACCGAUAGUGAACCAGUACCGUGAGGGAAAGGCGAAAAGAACCCCGGCGAGGGGGAGUGAAAUAGAACCUGAAACCGUGUACGUACAAGCAGUGGGAGCACCUUCGUGGUGUGACUGCGUACCUUUUGUAUAAUGGGUCAGCGACUUAUAUUUUGUAGCAAGGUUAACCGUAUAGGGGAGCCGUAGGGAAACCGAGUCUUAACUGGGCGAAUAGUUGCAAGGUAUAGACCCGAAACCCGGUGAUCUAGCCAUGGGCAGGUUGAAGGUUGGGUAACACUAACUGGAGGACCGAACCGACUAAUGUUGAAAAAUUAGCGGAUGACUUGUGGCUGGGGGUGAAAGGCCAAUCAAACCGGGAGAUAGCUGGUUCUCCCCGAAAGCUAUUUAGGUAGCGCCUCGUGAACUCAUCUUCGGGGGUAGAGCACUGUUUCGGCUAGGGGGCCAUCCCGGCUUACCAAACCGAUGCAAACUCCGAAUACCGAAGAAUGUUAUCACGGGAGACACACGGCGGGUGCUAACGUCCGUCGUGAAGAGGGAAACAACCCAGACCGCCAGCUAAGGUCCCAAAGUCAUGGUUAAGUGGGAAACGAUGUGGGAAGGCAUAGACAGCCAGGAUGUUGGCUUAGAAGCAGCCAUCAUUUAAAGAAAGCGUAAUAGCUCACUGGUCGAGUCGGCCUGCGCGGAAGAUGUAACGGGGCUAAACCAUGCACCGAAGCUGCGGCAGCGACGUUUAGGCGUUGUUGGGUAGGGGAGCGUUCUGUAAGCCGUUGAAGGUGGCCUGUGAGGGUUGCUGGAGGUAUCAGAAGUGCGAAUGCUGACAUAAGUAACGAUAAAGCGGGUGAAAAGCCCGCUCGCCGGAAGACCAAGGGUUCCUGUCCAACGUUAAUCGGGGCAGGGUGAGUCGACCCCUAAGGCGAGGCUGAAAAGCGUAGUCGAUGGGAAACAGGUUAAUAUUCCUGUACUUGGUGUUACUGCGAAGGGGGGACGGAGAAGGCUAGGCUAGCCGGGCGACGGUUGUCCCGGUUUAAGCGUGUAGGGGGUGUGACCUGGUAAAUCCGGUUGCAUAUCAACCCUGAGGCGUGAUGACGAUGCACUACGGUGCAGAAGUAGUUGAUGCCCUGCUUCCAGGAAAAGCCUCUAAGCUCUAGGUAACAUUAAAUCGUACCCCAAACCGACACAGGUGGUCAGGUAGAGAAUACCAAGGCGCUUGAGAGAACUCGGGUGAAGGAACUAGGCAAAAUGGUGCCGUAACUUCGGGAGAAGGCACGCUGGCAUGUAGGUGAAGUCCUUCGCGGAUGGAGCUGAAGCCAGUCGAAGAUACCAGCUGGCUGCAACUGUUUAAUAAAAACACAGCACUGUGCAAACACGAAAGUGGACGUAUACGGUGUGACGCCUGCCCGGUGCUGGAAGGUUAAUUGAUGGGGUCAGCCGCAAGGCGAAGCUCUUGAUCGAAGCCCCAGUAAACGGCGGCCGUAACUAUAACGGUCCUAAGGUAGCGAAAUUCCUUGUCGGGUAAGUUCCGACCUGCACGAAUGGCGUAAUGAUGGCCAGGCUGUCUCCACCCGAGACUCAGUGAAAUUGAACUCGCUGUGAAGAUGCAGUGUACCCGCGGCAAGACGGAAAGACCCCGUGAACCUUUACUAUAGCUUGACACUGAACAUUGAGCCUUGAUGUGUAGGAUAGGUGGGAGGCUUUGAAGCGUGGACGCCAGUCUGCGUGGAGCCAUCCUUGAAAUACCACCCUUUAAUGUUUGAUGUUCUAACUCGGCCCCAUAAUCUGGGGUGAGGACAGUGUCUGGUGGGUAGUUUGACUGGGGCGGUCUCCUCCCAAAGAGUAACGGAGGAGCACGAAGGUUAGCUAAUCACGGUCGGACAUCGUGAGGUUAGUGCAAAGGCAUAAGCUAGCUUGACUGCGAGAGUGACGGCUCGAGCAGGUACGAAAGUAGGUCUUAGUGAUCCGGUGGUUCUGAAUGGAAGGGCCAUCGCUCAACGGAUAAAAGGUACUCCGGGGAUAACAGGCUGAUACCGCCCAAGAGUUCAUAUCGACGGCGGUGUUUGGCACCUCGAUGUCGGCUCAUCACAUCCUGGGGCUGAAGUAGGUCCCAAGGGUAUGGCUGUUCGCCAUUUAAAGUGGUACGCGAGCUGGGUUUAGAACGUCGUGAGACAGUUCGGUCCCUAUCUGCCGUGGGCGUUGGAAGAUUGAGAGGGGUUGCUCCUAGUACGAGAGGACCGGAGUGAACGCACCACUGGUGUUCGGGUUGUCAUGCCAAUGGCAUUGCCCGGUAGCUAAGUGCGGAAAAGAUAAGCGCUGAAAGCAUCUAAGCGCGAAACUUGCCUCAAGAUGAGUCUUCCCUGGGCCUUUAAGGCCCCUGAAGGAACGUUUAAGACUAAGACGUUGAUAGGCUGGGUGUGUAAGUGCAGCGAUGCAUUGAGCUAACCAGUACUAAUGAUCCGUGAGGCUUAACCUU
rnacentral:rRNA from 1 species